GGGAACAUUCCUGCCCAAUUACCAUUUCCGCAUGUCUCACUGAGGCCAGCUGCGUGGGGCAUACCUUUGCCACUGCAGACAGCAGGGGUGCUGGAAUGUGCUGGCCAGGUGACCCUAAGGCCACUUUUCUGCUUGUGUUGAGCCACCAUCUGCAGGUGGAGAGCUGGUGGCCCACCCCAACCUGCGACUCUCAGCUCUGUGACAAUGCAUGAGUCUCAGCAACUCUUCAGUCAUUGGGAGAGGUCUGCCUUCCAAUUUACCUGGUGGAGAAGUCUGUAUUUUGAUGAGCCAAGUAAGAGUAUCCUCUACCUGUUGUGUAGCCCCAGAAAAAGCACUCAUGUGGGGUGCAGUUUACUCAAAUGCUUGCUGAAGACCCGCUGACAUCAGCCCUCCAGGAUACACGCCAAUACCAGGGACUCUAGAUUCUCAGCACUGUGUGUGUGUUUGCAGGCUCAUCUGCAUGUGGCAGGUGGCCCUGUUACCCUCCACCUCUGCCUGCUGCAACCAGCACAGCCCUGCUGGAAGGAUCACACCAACAUCAUCAUUGCUUCAGCAAGCAUCACUGGCACCACUGCUACAAUCUAGAAAGCUGCUGCCAACUGCAGCUGAACCACCACCUCUGUUGGCCAGGCUCCUGUGGCCAGAGGAGGAUGCUGGAGUACUGGUACUCCCUUUUCAAACUAGAUGAGCCCAUUCCUCCGCAAGACUGUCAGAGCUAUUUCUCAGCAGCCCAGAGAAAAUGAAGUUCCAUCUGAAGAUGCUCUAGUACUACAGCUGCAGCUUGCAAAAGGGCACGAGAAAUUUAUUGAAAUGCUAAAAAGCCAGCAGCAGAUCAUUGUGGAUUUGCAGCAAAAACUUGCUGAACAGCAGCACAUACUGGUUAGCCAGCAGCGGGAAAUUCUUGAACAGCAAAGAAAAAUGUAUGAGCAAAUGGAUCUGAUCAAAGUUCAGUAUGGCAUGCUUUUUGACACAGUGAAACAAAUGUCAUUUCAGAGUUUGCAAGAAGAUAUUCAAAAUUAUUUUGAAAGUCAUCUUCAAGGACUUCAGAACCAGGUCAGAAAUCAUCUCCAGAAGUCAUACUCUGUCCAUAAAGUAGAAGUGGAUGCAAAAGCGAUUAAUGUUGGGGAGUCUUUGCUGGACUGUGGUCUUUGUGAAAGUGAUGAAUUCUGCAAUUUCCAAAAGACACCUUCACAGUGUGAAAAAUGCACAUUGUGUCCCGCUGGCUUUUUCCAAACGGCUGAGUGUUCUGCAAACUCUGAUCGGAUUUGUCAGGACAGAGACGAAUGCACUGAAUCUCCAAGCAUUUGUGGUGAGAGGAUAAAAUGCCUGAAUACACCGGGUGGCUUCCGGUGCCUUGGAGUUGCUGAGAAAGAUGCAGCUUUGGGACUGUGUGGAAAGGAGUAUUUCUUUAAUAAGGAAAUGCAGGAAUGUCAGGCGUGUUUAAAAUGCGAAGAAGGAAUGGUGGCCGUGCCUUGUUCCACCGUCAGCGAUACGGUUUGUUCAGCAGCCAGUGAAAACAAGCUUUCAGAGUCUUGGGCUGCAAACAUCAUUUUACCCUCUGCAAAGUCUGGCAUCUCUCAGGUCUACUCUGGCUUAAACUUGAAGAUAAAGGGAAAGCUUCACUGUGAAAUCCUAUCAGUUGAAGAUAACAGCUUGGUAUUCAGGCAGCAUGGUCUGUUGUGGACUGACCUAAAUUUUGCAAUAAAGCACAACUGCAGGAAUUUUUUGCAACUGUCCUUAAAGCUAAAUGGCAGUGAGGAAGGUUAUGAACUGAGCGGUGUUCGUAUUGAGCAGCCGGAGGGAAAAUAUUUCCAGAGCACUAGUCUAAGCAGUGCUGCUGAAGUGGAGCCCAGCCAAACACUUUCUGUGUUUUUGAGGAGUCCAAAUCAAUUCUGCAAUCAAAGUAAAGACUUACAUAUUUAUGAUCUUAAUACCCCGCUCAGUUUGUUUUGGUUGUCCCAUGACACGGGUGCUGUGGCAGUCAGUGCACAGAUGUCAACAGCAAUGCAUUACCAAACCAACUAUCGACCUACCUUUAAAAUAAUUUCUGUUUCUGACCCUUAUAUGCUAAGUUUAUCUCAUGAUGGCAGAGCUAUAAAGUUCACUGAAACUGGUGUUGUCAAAUUUGUGUUCCACCAAGCACUGUAUUCCAUGGGUCAUACAUGUGUCCGGGAGGGCUUCUCCUUAAUUUCUUAUAUCAAUAGGAAUGGUACUAACAGAGAAUUAAUGAAUGUGUUUAAAUGUGGGGUAAAUUACAGAGACACAUCAAUAUCUGCUUCUGGAGCCACAAAAGUUGAUGCUGGAGAUCUGGUUAGCUUUGAGAUACUUUCUCCUGCACAGUGUAAUGUUCGGUAUUUUGGAGACAGUUCUGGGAUUAGUAUGUUUAGCCUCAUCUGGGUCCCUUCAGCAGUUUCUACUGCUAUAUCAGCCACAGUUUCUGUUACAGGUCUGCCUACUGGAGCUGUGAGAAACAAAUUACUGGAUUUCACCCAGGUCUCAUCCAAUGAGAAACAGAUACAGCUGGUUUCUUCUGGACAGUUUGCUCAGAAGUAUUUCAUUUUUACUGAAAAGGGAAUUGCCAGCGUUGCCUUUAACUUAAAGCUGAUCCACUCGUGCAAUGUGCUCAAAAUGACUCUCAAUCAGUUGACCACGGAUCACAUGCAGCCCACAGCAAUUGCUCAGCAGAUUGGUGGUCAGAUGCCGGAGGGAAGCACAUGGACCAGCAUAUCUCUCCGUGCCUCAUUCGAAGUCCAUAAUGGAACGCUGGUAUCCGUUUCUCUUGACUGUGUGCGUGGAAGGAUCAACCAGAUCACUCAUGAACAUGGAACCAGUAUAUCUAUUUUAUGGAUUUCGUCUUAAUUUCUGUACAGUGAAGUUAGCACAGAACUGGAGUUUAAAUGGGAUUUGGAUGCUACUCUGAUUCUAUAGAUGUUUGACACCCUACACUGUGUGGAAAUGUACAGAAUGUCCCACUAAAAUACUCUCAAUUUUAGGAACAUUUAAAUAUAAUCUUAAUUGAAUGAUCAGUAUUUAAAGAAAAGAGAACUUCCAGUGUUCCAAGAUAUUACUCCUGUUAAUAUCUUCAAGCAGGAGAACCUUGAAUUCAAUUUGAACUCUCAUAUUUUUAACAAUGCAAUCUCCUAAAAUCAGUUAUUUCUGAACUACAAAAAAUUGCAGGUGAGGGUAAAUACAUACCUUUUAGUACUGAAACUGAAAGUGGCACCUACAAAUAAUCAAAACUUGCUUUCAGAUUCUUCACUGUAGCAGGCUAAUACCAGGACUGGAUGCACUUUGAGGCUAAUUUAUCUAAAUCUUAUAAAAUGUUAUGCUUUACAUAGGUGGAGAGAAAGUGCCUCAGACUAGAGGUGAUAAUAUGGCAACGCUGGAACAUACACGCUUAAUAUUCUGUUAAUGCACCUGGGUCAAAAAUAGAACAUUGUUUUUAAAAAAGAAUAGUUUUUCUUAACAAAGACAUUGAAACUAAUGAUCAUUCUAAUUUCAUUCAGAAAUAAUCUGGUUUUAAGUCUCUUGGGAAGGCUUUUUCCCACUUUUCUGUUUAGUAUUUGCCAACAAAAAAUUGCAUGAUGAGAAAGAAGGAAGACUAUUAAAAAAGGAGUAUAUGGGGAAAAGCAACAAAUACUUAAAGUAAUAUCUUGAAAAUGAGACUUUUAAAAAUGAAACAUUUUUUUUCCAUUUCUUAUUGACCAAAUAUGUCUCUGACCAAAACAGAUCACCAGUCACAUAAGUAUUUAUUUUGCUGAAUAGCUGCUUAGUUUAAAACAGUUUUUUGGUUAGAUCAAUCAGUUAAUUCUAAAAAGAAUGGAGGUGUUCACUGACACUGAUUUUUGUCUUCCAGUUCUCUCAUCACACUUUUCUUUCUUUUUCUAAUCUAUGAAGACUAUCUUCUCUCAUUUUCUCCUUUCUUCUACACAGAUGCUGUAAUACUGUUCUUUCUCAUUUCUUCUGUUAGGAGUAAAUGCUCUGUCAUGUAGCAAAGGCAGCUCAACCCUUUCUAGCCAUCCCUCACCAUCCCUACUGUGUGUGUCACAUACACAGUUAUGCAAAAGGGGCAUUAAUAAUGCACUCGCUAGCUGGUGAACAUCAACCUUGCUGAAAGCAGGAAUACUAUGCACGAUAUAAACAGUAAUGUAGGUGUUUGCCUGAGUACAUAUGUGUAAAAUAUGUGCACUGUCCUAUGCUCUUUACCUGUUUUACAGUUUGUCACACUGCUUUUGCUGUAGUUUCCUCCUGUAAUUUUCUGGAAAAGUACGAAACCAGAUACAAGGACUUCUGUCUGGUGAUUCUGUUUCUACUUACAACUUUGUAAUCUUGUCCUUAACACUUGUAGUUAUCCUUCCCUUAUCCUUUUUGCUUCAAGUCUAUACUCAAGUUAUAGAUAUGCAGGCUUAGGAUAAAUUGCUCUCCUGCUCCAGACAAGGAACACUAAUUUUCCUUUGCUUCCAAAGUCCUUCCUUUGCUGCAAAGUCUAAGCAGCCCAUCGCAAGGUACCUCACUUAGGCACUGUGCUGAAGCCAGCAUAACCAUGCAAACCACAACAAAUUAAAUCCAGGUUUCACUGAGGUCUGUGACAGAGGUUCUAAGUGACUUUGAGUAGCCAGGCUCAUUCAUUCUGACUAGGACAUAAGGAAGGAUGGAUUAAAGCUAAUACUGAAAGUGUUCAACAUUUGCAAAAUGCUGUUAUCAUUACAGAGGAGACUUCUGGAAUUAGAGUGCUUGUAUCUAUUGUAUACAAUAUAGCUGCAUUACCUAGGAGCAGAGCAGUUUUUCUGGCUUCUUCACCCCAAAAGUCUGCUUAGACUGAACAAAGAGAAAAUGCCACAGGAGUUGAUGUUUUCUGACAUAUCCAUCUGCUUAGUAAGAUGAGCUGGUCACAUCACUCCUAGGUUGUUUCAAGGUCAUCAUAUCUUCCCUAGCAGACUCCACCCUACAAACAGAUGAUUUUGCUAGGAGAGGGUCAAAGGGCUUGUUCCUCAUGGAGGUGGGUAGCUCUUUUCGUUGCAAGAAUGCGUGAGACAUAGGAGGAGCUCUUCAGAGAGUGGGCUGAGAUAUUUCUAAGAUAAGACUUUAGCAGGGGACAAUCUUAGAGAAGGCUUGAAAUAAUAUGCUUGCGGUUUUGUUUUGGAGGAAGUUAAGAUUAAAGUAACUUUCUCAGUGGCAUAAUCCAUUAUUUUUCUUUGCCAUUUUGCUCUAUGCAACGGUUUUAAGGGCGGCCCCCACCCCAUGUCUACCAGUAUAAUGGCAGCUUAAGAGUCAUUCUGUAUUUAAACCUGUGUAGCAGUUAUCAGAAUCUGACAUUAGACAUAAUCUGAUAUAUCUUUAACAAAGUGUAGAUGUUGGAUAUAAAAUAAGCCUUUGCCUACAUAUAGGAUAGCAUAUAGCAAAUCUUAUGGCAUGAUUUGUAUGGAUAUGUUAUAUCUGAGUGAGACUGUAGUAUCAAUGGAAUUGCUUGAAUAGGAAAGAGGCUGACUUUUUAUGAUGCUCAGAUCCUGUAUCCUGUACAUGUUGAUACUUCUUACAUUUAAAUGCACUGUUAUUAAAGGCUGCAGAAACUACCAGGCAGGUUCAAGUGAACAUGUUACACCUAAGAGAGAUUUCAGAGUAUGAAUUCUUCAACGCAGUAAACCUUUUUGAGGACUCUUAGGGGAGUGUCCGUAAUUGCCCUUCAGUGCAAGGUAGAUUUUAGAUGCUCGGUGGCAGAAGUGCAGUAUUUGGCACCAAUCUGGUGGUGUUAAUGCAUCUAAUGCUGUUUUGCUAAUGUCAUUUGUGAGGAGUGACUCAAAUGAUGAAAAGAUCCAGUUUCUUCUGAAUGCUCCUGUGAAAUAUGUACUAUUAAUUACCAAAUGCAGCAAGCUUAACCAUAUGUCAAGAAAAGGCUGACUGGGCCUUUUUUCCAUCUCUCCAUUUAAAAAAAAAGCCUGAAACCAUAGAUCGGUCCACCUGCUGACCUUGGUUAUAGUAAUUUGGAACAAGUAUGUUGGAAUCAGGGUGGGUUUAUGCUAGUUUAACUGACAGCAUAGUGUAGCCUUUCUGUCUAUGAAAAUGAUAUAUAUUACCUCAUAUCAUGCAACGUAAGUGGUGCACUAUGAUCCUAAAUAAGAUAAAUUCAAAAGGAAUCAGACUUAAUGUACAUGAAUGCUAUUUAUGGCACUUAUUCCAUUUGCUGUAACUGAUUGCAUGUUUUAUUCUUGACAGAUAUAUCAUGUUAUAUUUACAAUUCUAGAACUUUUUUAUUCAUGUUUUCAUAUGGUUUCUUUCUAGUUGUAGCACAAUAUAAUGCUCUGAAGAACAGAAUUCAUUUAAAAACUUGUUUUAUUUUGCAUCUUUUCAUACCUUGUUCUUGAAUAUGGUUAAAAUAUCUGGAGAUACUCUCUCCAGGCCUUGCUUCCAGAGAGUUUCCAGUGAGGGUAUUCAUAAAGUUAGGUCGUGCAGAGUAUGUCUGAGGCUUGCAGAAUCUAGCCACAGAGAAAAAGUUAGAGUUAAUACAUCUAGCAAGUCAUGAGGUUGUUUCACCUGUGUUAUGCAUAUGCAUCAGGUUGUUAUAGAAAAAUUUGCAGAAAGAAAAUCAUUUAUGUCUACUCAUAUAAGAGGAAAAGGCUUUGACUUACAAAACCUGCAUCAGUUUGUUGUGAAACAUCUUGUAGGUUCAAAGAUUUUACCUGAAAAUAUAUAUUAUUGUCAAUAAAAAGUUUUUAUAUUUACUGUAAAGUCA
ensembl:lncRNA uncharacterized LOC112984038